UACGUAGGCAGCAAGCGUUGUUCGGAAUUAUUGGGUUUAAAGGGUGCGUAGGCGGGUUAUUAAGUCAGUGGUGAAAGCCUUCAGCUUAACUGAAGAACUGCCAUUGAUACUGAUGAUCUUGAGUAUGAUUGAGGUGGGCGGAAUGUGUCAUGUAGCGGUGAAAUGCUUAGAUAUGACACAGAACACCGAUUGCGAAGGCAGCUCACUAAGCCAUAACUGACGCUGAUGCACGAAAGCGUGGGGAGCAAACAGG
rnacentral:rRNA from 1 species